rnacentral:lncRNA from 1 species
UCUUAAAAAAGAUUAGAAAGUUGAACCCUUGUAUCGUAUUAUUAUUGUGUUAAAUUCAAUGUGUACGUGACUAUAUGUAUAGACGCAAAAUUCAUGCAAGAAUUCGAUGGAAGCUUGUCAAAGCCGACAGGUAUGAGCAAUCCAAUGGAUCUGUUGGGCUACGCUGAAACUGUAAUUGUUUUCUGUAUGUACAAGUAAUUAAUUUAAAACUACAUUAUAUAUAUAUUGGAAUAGGGAGCAGAUUAACGUAUGCACGCACAUUAUUUAAUAAUGUUAUAGACACACAUUCAUUGGGAUGGGAGCCAAUCUCAAAUUAUCAAAGAUGAUAUAUCUUUUGGUAAUUAUCAAUUCAGAGAUGAAUUUGAAUAGCCUUUGUUACCUUAAACGGCUCUCGAGAUUUUAGGGGAAAUUAUUAGUUUUUUCAGAGAAGAUUAUUAUAGAAAUUUCAUAAACGCUACCAAAAAUUGCUUCCAUUCAAACCAUUGCAUGUUCCUCUUUUUUUUUCUUUUUUACUUUUUCUAAUUUUUUUAUUGUAACAACUCUAUUUGAUGACAUAUGUUGUGGGUAUGUCAUUUGUGACAUCUAAAUUAUUAAUAAUUGAAUUUUACCCCAAAAAAAAAAAAUUAGGAUGGUUCGUUGCAUAACAUAAUUCUCCAUAGAUGAGGGAAGACUAAAGACCCAAUUUGAUAAUACUGUAAUUUUUAAAAUAAUUG